rnacentral:lncRNA from 1 species
UCAUAAUUGCGUAAAAAUUAAAAGGGAGAGAAGAUAGAAUUGGGCAUCAAUGCCGCUUUCAAAAUCAAUGUACUAUUCCUAUUAACUCCCUUAGAAUCCGUGUCCGAAACCUCGAGUCAAACCUCAAUAAAACGAGCAACCCAACUUCGGUAUACUUUUUUUAAUUUCUAUUUUUCGCCAACAUGAAUCAAAUCACGAAGUAACGAUAAAACCGUACCCGAAUUCGCAUACCCGUCACUGUUCACGAUACUGUUCACUGUCACUGUUCACGACAUGUUCAAAAUACUGUUCACCGUCACUUUUCAUGACACUCCCAUCGUCCAGACCUUUUUCUCUCUCGAUUUUUUUCUCUCGCGCGAUUCCCUCUUCUCUCCCUCGAUUUUUCUGUUCUUGUGAGGAAGAUGAUGGGUGGAGAAUUGUUGUUGUGUGUUUGUGGAUUGUUAUCUUGCUUUCAAAGAUGGAAGAAAAAUGGUAGAUUUUUUUUUCUUGUGGGGAAGAUGAUAAGAAAAAAAUGAAAAGAAAAAAACCCCCUUUUGUCUUGUGUGUAAAAAAAUAUAUAUAUUAUUAAUGGAAAAAGAGAAAAAAAUCCCUAGUGGUCCCUUCUAUUUUUGUUAUUCUUUUUCUUUUCUUAUGUUAUCUUAGGUGAAUGAAUAUUAUUGGUGGCUUGUGGGAGUAUGUGUGUGGCAGGUGGAAAAGUUAGUGUGGCGUGUGGAAAGAUGAGGGUGGCGUGUGGAAAAAUGAGUAGGGCGUGUGCCUUUUGUAUGUAUCCAAUGAAAAAUGGUGAGUGCGGUGUUGAGGUGGCAUGGUGAGGUGGCAAAAAUGCUAUAUAUAUCCUUAUUUUCAAUUAUUUUUUUUGGGAGAAAUUAUCAAUUAAACAAAAGUAUGGCAAGAUGAAAUAAAAAUAAUAUAAAAUAAAAUAAAAAUAAAAAUAAAAUAAAAAUGAUUAAAAUAUUUUCGGGGAGGGGCAAAAUUACAUGUCUACAUCAUGCCUCCUUUCGAUGUAAACACAUGGUGUUUUCAUACAAAGCAGUAGACAACAGAAUUUUGUCUCUAUCUUUAUUCCAAAGCAGGGAGCAAGAGGAAAGCGGAAAACCAGGUCUUGACUUAGAACAACCUACCGACCCACGUUAUGAUGGAAUCAAGUGACAGGUAUCUCAAAGGAUUGGGUGGAGACGGACUAUACCGAGUUGGAGAGUUGAGUGAGGUUCGAUCGAGGUUCCGAUCAGCGGCUCUGUCAUUACAUCAAAAUGAAAAUUACAAGUUAAAAACGUAAAUAAAAUUACAAAAACGCUAUCUAUGUAGCUUUCCUUGACUCUUGACUCAAGUUUUAUCACCCUAUUCUUUAGGCGGGCUCCUGACUAUCAAUUUCUUCAACUUGUUGCUUGGCUUUCAAGUGUUUCACCCUGUUGCUUGACUUUCAUUUAUUUGCCCUGCUCUUCAGGCGGGCUUCUGACUUACCAUUUUUACUUCUGAUUUCAUCACCUUGUUGCUUGACUUUCAACUUUUUCACCCUGUUCUUUAGGCGGGCUCCUGACUUACAAUUUUCUCACCCUGUUCUUCAGGCGGGCUCCUGAAUUACAUUUUCCUCACCCUGUUCUUCAGGCAGGCUCCUAAAACCAAAAUCAAAACUAGAACGAAAAUUAUCCCAAAUAAAGAUUAUAAUAAAGAAAUUUUUCAUUUGCCAGACAAGUGAAGUUCCAAAAGAAGAAUUAAAUUUUGCCCCAAUUUAUCAUCAAAGGACUUUUGCGAAAGUCACAUCAUUAUAGGAAUCAAGGAGAAUGACUCGAGUAAAAGGUACGUCUUAUAGGAAUCAAAAGGAAUGACUCAACUAAAAGGUACGUCUUAUAGGAAUCAAGGAAGAUGACUCGACUAAAAGGUACGUCUUCUAGGGGUCAAAGAGGAGAUGACUCGACUAAAAGGUACGUCUUCUAGGGGUUACGGGGAAUGACUCAACUAAAAGGUACAUCUUAUAGGAAUCAAGGGGAAUGACUUGACUAAAAGGUAUGUCUUAUAGGAAUCAAGGGAGAUGACUCGACUAAAAGGUACAUCUUAUAGGAAUCAAAGGGAUGACUCAACUAAAAGGUACGUCUUAUAGGAUUCAAGGGAGAUGACUCGACUAAAAGGUACGUCUUAUAGGAAUCAAGGGAGAUGACUUGACUAAAAGGUACAUCUCAUAGGAAUCAAGAGGGAUGACUCGACUAAAAGGUACGUCUUAUAGGAAUCAAGGGAGAUGACUCGAAUAAAAUUUACAUCUUAUAGGAAUCAAGGGGGAUGACUCAACUAAAAGGUACGUCUUAUAGGAAUCAAGGGGGAUGACUCGACUAAAAGGUACGUCUUAUAGGAAUCAAGGAAGAUGACUCGACUAAAAGGUACGUCUUAUAGGAAUCAAGGGAGAUGACUAAAAUAAAGGUACAUCUUAUAGGAAUCAAGGGGGAUGACUCGACUAAAAGGUACAUCUUAUAGGAAUCAAGGGAGAUGACUUGACUAAAAGGUACGUGUUCUAGGGGUCAAGGGGAAUGCCUCAACUAAAAGAAACGUCUUAUAGAAAUCAAUAGCACGACUCGACUAAAAGCUAUGUCUUCUAGGAGUGAAGGUUCAAUUUUAAGAAGUGUAUCACCUAGCAAACGAAAACUGAAAUCCCUAGACAAGAAAGUGUGUCUCCUGGGGAUAUAGCAUGAUGAAUUUUUACCAUGAUUUGACUAUCAAAACUGUGCACUAAUAUUGUUUCCUGCAUUUGUAAAAGUGAGGCAUUGCAUCCCCUGAUAUUUAUGCUCUGAAGUCCUUACUUUGAAGGUAAUAUGUUUCCUGUUUCAUCAAAGAAAACUUGUGAGUUUAAAACAUUGUGGCUGCUUUAUGGCUUUAGCUUUCGCGGUGAUCGCUCUUGCCCUUGUCAUAUUUAACCUUCCUUCCAACCAUUAGCAUAUGCCAUUGACUUGUCGCUUCAUUGACUCAAACUCAGAUGAUUAAGAAAAACUCUGAAACAAACAUAAUAUCUCUGCUUUGCUAUGUUUCUCAGACAAACCCUUUGAACCUUGGUAUUACCAUGAGUUCCCCGACUUAUCUGUUGACAAAACUUUCUGCAUGUCCUUUUUUGGAUCACAAUCAUGUCUCUUUCAUGUGUUGGCUAUUGUCUUGCUUUGUGCAAUUAAAGAAGCUGGCAACCAGUUUUGAAAUCUUUUCUCACUUAUGUUUUAUACAGACUUGACUCAAAGACAAGAGAAGAACCAAAUGACAAUGAUUUUUUAUAAAAAUAACUGACUCAAGAAAGAUAAAACAAAAAUAAAGAGAAGAAAGAAAAGACAAUAAAUGUCCCCCUUUGAAACAAAGAAACAAAAAUUUAUCUAAAAAUGACAGUCAACUUUAAUGAUUAUGCCAUGCAUUUUGGAUUAAGCUACCUGAUCUUUCCAUCCAAACUUUCUACCAAAUGUUAUUGACUUAAUGUCCUUGAAACUGAGUUUCUUCCUUAAGUCAAUUGCAUUUAAGACCUCAUUCGGUUAGUGGCGCCUUGAAGGGUUUUCUCCAACAAGCUUCUCUCAUUUUCUUUUCCUCAACUCACCAUUGCCUUAUGGUGACGGUGAGGUUUUUCACCAAUAAGGCUCUCUCAUUUUUGUUUCUCUCAAAUUACCAUCAUCUUACGGUGCCCGAAAAGAUUUUCACCAAUAAGACUCUCUCAUUUUUAUCUCUCUCAACUUACACCAUUGAGACUCUUUUUUUUCAUUUCUCUCUUGAUUUCCUAUGCUGAGGAAGACCAGCAGUUCCCAAAAUGUAUCAUCAUAUGCAUUGCAUGCUUAGCCUUAACAUUCUCAAAGAUUGAUCUGAAGGUCUUUCUUUGAUUGUAGCUUGCCUUUUGGAUAAGGUUAGAAAUAAAGGAUGACAUGAGGCCCAAACGACACUUGAAGUGGGGUAGGACUUACAACUUUUGGAAUUGACUCAAACAAUGAGGAUUAACUCAUGCCCCAGUUUUUUUUGACUGGGCAAUUCCAAACUUUAUUUAGUUGGACCGACCCCUGAGUAGGGCAGCCUACGUAUCUCACCCUCGAGAGAGGAGAAUCAGGUCAUACGUAGUUCUGGCAGCUUGUUCUUUUACUUGAUUCUAUUUUUUUUUCUUUUGUUGAAUCUUUUUCUCUUUGGGACUUUUCUGACUUUAUGACACUCAUCUUUUCUUUCUUUUUCGACACAUUUUUUGAAUUCUGCUGACUCUAUCUUGAUUUCAAAAGAGAGGUAUGAAAAAAAAUAACACUAAGGCCCAAAUGGGGUAAAUAAAAGAUGACACAAUGUUUGGAUAGCAGAAUAAAAUGCCUUCGUUAUAUCAAUUCUUGAAAAUGCUAGUACAUAGCAUGCAAUGCGAAAGUGCACAAUCAAGAUCACUUAUGAAAUGUUUUAUAACACUAACUUGCCCCGAGCAUGUGUGCCACUUCUUUUUCUACACUUGUCCAGCAUACAACUCCACUUUGUUGUACAUUCCUAAUGCUGAAGGACUCAUGACUUUGUGGAGCUAAUUUUCUUCCUGUUCCUUUUGACAUAGGAUCAAACAUUCAUUACUUGACCUAAUUGAGAUAUGUCUUUCAAUUGAUGAUCAAGUUAUUCUCACGAUUCUCAAAAUAAUAGCCUUAAUUUUCAAAGAAGGCUUCAACUUGAUCACCAAAUGCCCCAGCACUCUAUGUAUUUUCUCAGAUGCUCUCUUUUUCUAACUUUAACCCUCUGAUUCAAUGUUCAUGCUUAAACUCGAUUUUAAGAUCUGGCUGAAAAUUUCACUAGCAUGCCAUAUCACUAGAGUCAACAUAAAAUGUACUAUGCAAAGAAAACAAACAAACAAACAACACAUAUUUAAAUCACAAAGAAAAUGGGACACUUCAUUUAAUAAAAAUGAAAGAUAGAAGGGUUUGAACAUAACGACAAAGGAACAAAAUAAGAUAGAUUCCGAACUACAACCUUGAAAUAAUUUGGAUAACAGGAAAUAAAAUAAAACAAACUACCAGACCUCUUCCAAGUAGGUAGGGAUGACUUCUCAAUUGCUCAGCCUGACAUCUUAGCCACUGUUUUGCAUAUCAGCAUGACUAGAGCUUUCCUCACUGUCAAUGUUCUACACCAUAAUUGAUUUAUCUUGAAUCAUCUUUUCAAUUUCUCUUUUCAAAGCAUGACAAUCUUUAAUAUUGUGACCCUGAACAUUAGAAUAAUAUGCACAUCGUAUAUUAGGAUCAAAACUUCUUGAAUGUGGGUCAGGAGUAUACCCAAAGAGAGGAGUAAUCAUGCCCUGCUAUACCAAUCUCUAGAAUAAACUGGCAUAGGAUUCCCCAAUAGGAGAGAAAUUAUUUUUUUCCUUCCUCCUCUUUGCGAACUCUGGCCUUGAAUAAAACUUAGAUUUAGAGGUUCCUUGGUAAAUUUGUGGGGGUCAAGGAUGAUGUUGAGGGACAGGUGCAUGUCAUUGUGGAUAAGAAGAUGGAUGAGCAUACAAUUGUGCAUUGUUCAAAGGAUAUUGAGGAAGUAGAAUGAGAUUUCUUCGAUUUUGGAGAAAGAAACCUUGUUGCAAGUGGUUAUGUGGAUCUAAUAUAUAAGCUCGGGAUUGAGGCUGACAGUAUUGGUGGGUUGGACCUCUCAAACUCUGUUUUGGCCCUGGCAUGACAAUAGGUGCAUUUUUCUUCUUCUUUCCUUCAGUUUCCCUUGGUUGAUUGCAAUGUCAUCUCAAAUGUUUCACAGAAUCCUUCUGUCCAUCAGGCUCCCCAAAUUUUGAUGUCUUACAGCUGGGAGGAAAGUUAACACUUGAAGACAUGUCCCAGUUUUUAUAUGAAACAUCUUCAUAGCCCAUAAGUCCAGGGAAAUUUUUCAUAUUAUUUUCUACACUCUUAACUUUCCCAACCACUUUCUCUAGCUCUUCUAGCAUGCUAGGCUUCUUAGUAAGAAAUUUUGGCGGUCCAUUUAAUUUAACGGUAGGCUCAAGAGUAUAAAAAUGAUCAUCAAGAGUAUUGAACGUAGAUUCACUAGUGGACUGGGGAAGCACAAUCGUUGGAUUGAUAGCCAAAGUGGAAGUCUUAGUAGAAGGUUGAGAAACAAAAGCACAGACGGUAUGUGGUGCUGUAAAUGUGGUAGAAUUAUACUGAGGAUCUAAAGAAAGAGUGGUGGAAGUAUUGAGGUGCAUUUGACGUGGAAUGGAUUCUGAGGCAUGCUGUGGUGCAUCAACAACAGUAGGAAACUGACUUUGUGAUUUUGGUGGAAGAUUCAAGGUAUUUGCUGGGUCAAAAGUGAGGAACAGAGGUGAAGGCAGCCCAUUGGCCCAAGCUCAGUACAUUUCCAUCAUUUGUUGUCUCAGUCUCAAAUUCUCUUCCGUUAAACUCUCAAUUUCCUGACUCUUUGUUUCAUCCAUGGUGUCACUCUCUAUAUCCUUGUUGGACACAACUAAACCUUCCUUGGAUUUGGUGUGAUAUGGAGGACCAGCCAGGAAGCCACAAACCAACCACCUUAAACUAACUGAACAAAAGGCAACAAAUAUGUUAAAGUUCAACAUUUUUUCAAAACCUCUUUUUUAAAAAGAUCACCGAACCCAAGAAGGGCGCCUACGUAUCUCACUCCCGAGAGAGGAGAAUCAACUGUGCGUAGUUCGUAAAGUCGUGCCAAAAUGGCCAAUUGAACUCUUUGUUUUCUUUCGUUUUUUUCUUUUUCUCGAAACUUUAAGAAGAAAAAAAAAAUAACAAUUUGUCAAAAGAAUUGACGAAAAUAUUUUUGAAUUUUUCAUCUUUAACAUCCCUAUACAAAGUAAAUCUAUGAUUACCAAAGAAAAUCUUUUUGGGUUUACAGUUUUAAAUUUCAUAUGAAAAUAAAAUUCGAACCUAUUAAAAGAAAAUCUUUUGUGAUUUUCUUUUAAAGAUAUAUAUGACAUCCACUCUAAAUGAAGAGUGAAGGAAAUAUUUUGAAUUUUUUAUAUUUCUAUACAAAAUGAAAUCUAUGAUUACCAAAGAAAAUAUCUUUUUGGAUUUCCGAUUUUGAAUUUCAUAUGACAAAGAAAUUUAAAACUAUUAAAGAAAAAAAUUUUCUUUUUUCUUUUAAAGAUUUAUAUGGAACACCUAAUAUAAAUAAAGAGUGAACAAAAUAUUUUUGAAUUUUUGAAAUAAGAUCCCCAAACCAACAAUAGGCUGCCUACGUAUCUCACAUCCCGAAAGAGGAGAAUCAGGGGUGCAUAGUUCGUCCAGAUUGGACAAUUAAUGAUUAAAUCACAGAUUGCACCCUGACUUGAGAUACGACCAAAGACUCACGAUGAACAACAUAACAAAAUCUUUUUUUUGAGUUUUCAAUUUGACACUUCACAUAAAAAAUGACACCAACAGCUAUGAAAGAAAAUCUUUUUGGUAUUUUCGCUAUAUGAAAUGUACAAAACUUCUACCAUAUUUUUGGAUUUUAUAAAAAGCUCCUAUUAAAAGAAAUUUUUUUUGAAAUUUUCAAAUUAUGGAAGCUUAUUAAAGAAACAAAGAAAAAUCUUUUUGAUAUUUUUGUCUUUGACAAAAUGAAUGCAAAAGUUAAAAAAAAAUCUUUUUGAAUUUUUAAAUUGUGAAAAACAAAAGCCAUAAAGAACUCUAAAAACUACAACACUCAUUUUUUUUCUUUUCGACACACUUUUUUUCUUUUUUUUUUCAAACACACCUUACUUCUAACACAUGUUUUCUCCGAAUCAGUCCAUCAAAUGACCAAGUUACCCUCAAAGAUGCAACAUUUAGCACAUAGGGAUGCUAGGUCUCAAUAUGAUGCACAUAAGUAUGACCUAAAGGCUGACCUAUGCUUGGCUUUACUAACAAGGCUGUUCGGGGGAGCAUAUGGUCGAUAGUGGUUGCUUUGCUUUCCACCCACUCCAUACGUCCGACGGCUCCCCCUCCUAAAAUAAGGAUGACUCAACUAGAGUUUGUGCGCAUGACGUACACUCCGGUACUUGUUGUAGAAAGAAUUGACUCAGGUUAUGCACAUGAUGUCAGAUAUAAAGCGGUAACACGCAAGAGAAAAAACUGUAAACACGUAGCACGUAGGCACUCAACAAUGAUAAAAUAAACGACAAACAAUAACACAAAACAACACAAACAAUGUCUAUACACCCAUAAUGUCAAACCAAGCCGAUACAGCUCCAAAAAUUAGCUCGAAUUCUGAAAAAUCCCCAGCAGAGUUGCCAAAGCUGUCACACCCCUUUUUUACCAAAAAGAUAUGGUUUAAGGUUCGAAAGGAUUUUUAUUAUUAAGUGACAAAAAUAUAAAAAUUUAUUUCGAAAAGGACUUUUUAUAUUCAAAACUCAGAGUCGCCACUUGGUAUAAAUCGGAUGUGUCAAGUCACCCGUGGAUAUCCUUUUUCAAAAUAGUUUUGACUCUGUAACACUGAUCCGCGAACAGAGAUUUCGGCUAAGGAAUUCUGUUGACCGAGGGAAAGGUGUUAGGCACCCCUCGAUCCCAUAGUUCGACCACGGUUGCUUGGUGGAGCGUAUCAGCUAAUUUAACAUUAUAAAUGUAUAAACCACAUAAACACACGAAACAAGCAAACAAACAAAUCAAACAAAAUUCAAAACUAAAAUAAUGUCCAGUACGUCGGGGCAUUCCCCGAUGAAUAAAUACAUGAAACCUCGGGGAAUUUCCCAUCCCAUUGCAUACAUUUGAAUCAAGUACGAUAAACUAGAAAAUAUUCACCACACAUUCAAAUUUUCAACAUUCAACGAUAUCCCUAAAUUCGUCUACCCGAACCUAACUUUGCCUAUUAAACUCUCGGACUAAAAUAUGCUCCUAUCGAGUUCACAAACAUUCCGAAUUAAACAAAACAACAAUAAACAAAAAAUUAAAAUAAAUUCACCUUUUUUAUCAAUUUCUCAAUUUCACCCCAAAUUUCAUUCUCUAACAUGCUUAAACCAAUUCAAUACGCAAUCCAUCAAUCAAGUUUUCAUAUCCAAAUCCAACAUCAACCAACACAUAACGAAAAUUCAAGCAUGCCAAACACACAAAUCACUUAUAAUUGCGUAAAAAUUAAAAGGGAGAGAAGAUAGAAUUGGACCUCAACGCCGCUUUCAAAAUCAAUGUACUAUUCCGAUUAACUCCCGUAGAAUCUGUGUCCGAAAUCUCGAGUCGAACCUCAAACAAUGAGCAGCCCAACUUCAGUAUACUUUUUUUAAUUUCUAUUUUUCGCCAACCUGAAUCAAAUUGCGAAGUAACGAUAAAACCGUACCCGUCACUGUUCACGAUACUGUUCACCGUCACUGUUCACGAUACUGUUCACAACACUGUUCACCUUCACUGUUCAUGACACUCCCAUCGUCCAGACCUUUUUCUCUCUCGAUUUUUUUCUCUCGCGCGAUUCCCUCUUCUCUCCCUCGGUUUUUCUGUUCUUGUGAGGAAGAUGAUGGGUGGAGAAUUGUUGGUUUGUGUGUGUGGAUUGUUAUCUUGCUCUCAAAGAUGGAAGACAAAUGGAGGAUUUUUUUUUUCUUGUGAGAAAGAUGAUAAGAAAAAACAAAGAAA